CAGGAAAAGAAAUCAAAAGAGAUUACGCUAGUAGCGGCGAGCGAACGCGUAAGAGGGCAAACCGUUAGUUUACUAACGGGGUUGUAGGACUGCAACAUAGACUUAAACAAACUAAUAGAAUAACCUGGAAAGGUUGGCCAUAGAGGGUGAUAGCCCCGUAUAUGAAAGUGCGUUUAUACUUAGCAGUAUCCUGAGUAGGGCGGGACACGUGAAAUCCUGUCUGAAGCUGGGGAGACCACUCUCCAACCCUAAAUACUACUACUAGACCGAUAGUGCACAAGUACCGUGAGGGAAAGGUGAAAAGAACUGAGGUGAUCAGAGUGAAAUAGAACCUGAAACCAUUUGCUUACAAUCAUUCAGAGCACGAUUCUUUAUGACGUGUGAUGGACUGCCUUUUGCAUAAUGAGCCUGCGAGUUGUGGUGUCUGGCGAGGUUAAGGAAACCCGGAGCCGUAGCGAAAGCGAGUCUUAAUAGGGCGUAUAGUCAGAUGCUGCAGACCCGAAACGAUGUGAUCUAUCCAUGAGCAGGUUGAAACUGGUGUAAGAGCCAGCGGAGGACCGAACAGACGGCCGUUGAAAAGGCUCCUGAUGACUUGUGGAUAGGGGUGAAAGGCCAAUCAAACAUCGUGAUAGCUGGUUCUCUCCGAAAUAUAUUUAGGUAUAGCGUUGUGUCGUAAUUAUAAGGGGUAGAGCACUGAAUGGGCUAGGGCAUAUACCAAUGUACCAAACCCUAUCAAACUCCGAAUACUUAUAAUGUAAUCACAGCAGUCAGGCGGCGAGUGAUAAAAUCCGUCGUCAAGAGGGGAACAACCCAGACUAACAGCUAAGGUCCCUAAAUCUCAUUUAAGUGGAAAACGAUGUGGAGUUACUGAAACAACCAGGAGGUUGGCUUAGAAGCAGCCAUCCUUUAAAGAAAGCGUAAUAGCUCACUGGUCUAGUGAUUCUGCGCGGAAAAUAUAACGGGGCUAAAAUGAGUACCGAAGCUUUAGACUUAGUUUUUAACUAAGUGGUAGGAGAGCGUUCUAUUCAGCGUUGAAGGUAUACCGGUAAGGAGUGCUGGAGCGGAUAGAAGUGAGCAUGCAGGCAUGAGUAGCGAUAAUUGAUGUGAGAAUCAUCAACGCCGAAAACCCAAGGUUUCCUACGCGAUGCUCGUCAUCGUAGGGUUAGUCGGGUCCUAAGCAAAGUCCGAAAGGGGUAUGCGAUGGAAAAUUGGUUAAUAUUCCAAUACCAAUUAUUAUGUGCGAUGGAAGGACGCUUAAAGUUAGUGGAGCUAGCGGAUGGAAGUGCUAGUCUAAGGGUGUAGGUUGAGUUAUAGGCAAAUCCGUAACUCUUUAUCCGAGACCUAAAAGGCUCAUGACGCUCUUCGGAGUAGAUUGAGAAUCCAUGAUACUAUCGAGCCAAGAAAAGUUUCUAAGUUUAGUAAUAAUUGCCCGUACCGUAAACCGACACAGGUGGGUGGGAUGAGUAUUCUAAGGCGCGUGGAAGAACUCUCUUUAAGGAACUCUGCAAAAUAGCACCGUAUCUUCGGUAUAAGGUGUGCCUAACUUUGUAUUAAGAUUCACUCCCAAAGCAAAGAAGGUUACAACAAAGAGUCCCUCCCGACUGUUUACCAUAAACACAGCACUCUGCUAACACGUAAGUGGAUGUAUAGGGUGUGACGCCUGCCCGGUGCUCGAAGGUUAAUUGAUGAUGUUAGCUAUGCGAAGCAUUUGAUCGAAGCCCGAGUAAACGGCGGCCGUAACUAUAACGGUCCUAAGGUAGCGAAAUUCCUUGUCGGUUAAAUACCGACCUGCAUGAAUGGCGUAACGAGAUGGGAGCUGUCUCAAAGAGGGAUCCAGUGAAAUUGUAGUGGAGGUGAAAAUUCCUCCUACCCGCGGCAAGACGGAAAGACCCCGUGGACCUUUACUACAGCUUGACACUGCUACUUGGAUAAAGAUGCGCAGGAUAGGUGGGAGGCUUUGAUCCAUAGACCCUGGUUUAUGGUGAGCCAUUGUUGAGAUACCACUCUUCUUUAUUCGGGUAGCUAACUAGCCUAAGUUAUCCUUAGGUAGGACAAUGUCUGGUGGGUAGUUUGACUGGGGCGGUCGCCUCCCAAAAUGUAACGGAGGCUUACAAAGGUUGGCUCAGAACGGUUGGAAAUCGUUCGUAGAGUAUAAAGGCAUAAGCCAGCUUAACUGCGAGACAUACACGUCAAGCAGAGACGAAAGUCGGUCUUAGUGAUCCGGUGGUUCUGUGUGGAAGGGCCAUCGCUCAAAGGAUAAAAGGUACCCCGGGGAUAACAGGCUGAUCUCCCCCAAGAGCUCACAUCGACGGGGAGGUUUGGCACCUCGAUGUCGGCUCAUCGCAUCCUGGGGCUGGAGCAGGUCCCAAGGGUAUGGCUGUUCGCCAUUUAAAGCGGUACGCGAGCUGGGUUCAGAACGUCGUGAGACAGUUCGGUCCCUAUCUGCCGUGGGCGUAAGAAGAUUGAGGAGAGUUGACCCUAGUACGAGAGGACCGGGUCGAACUAGCCACUGGUGUACCAGUUGUUCUGCCAAGAGCAUCGCUGGGUAGCUAAGCUAGGAUGAGAUAAGAGCUGAAAGCAUCUAAGCUCGAAGCCAACUCCAAGAUGAAUCUUCUUUUAAGAGCUCUAGUAGACUACUAGUUUGAUAGGCUGGGUGUGUAAUGGAUGAAAGUCCUUUAGCUGACCAGUACUAAUAGCUCGUUUGCUUAUCUUUAUAUAAGCAUCACUUC
rnacentral:rRNA from 1 species